rnacentral:tRNA from 1 species
GGGGCGGUAGCGCAGUUGGGAGCGCGUCAGACUGAAGAUCUGAAGGUCAUCGGUUCAAUCCCGGUCCACCCCA